CCCCUCCACCAUACCACCCUGAAUUCACUCAAUCUCGUCUGAUCUCAGAAGCUAAGCAGGGUCGGGCCUGGUUAGUACAUGGAUGGGA
rnacentral:rRNA from 1 species